rnacentral:rRNA from 1 species
CCAAUAGCGUAUAUUAAAGUUGUUGCAGUUAAAAAGCUCGUAGUUGAACUUCGGGAUUUGCCCAUUGGUCAGGCUUAACUGUCUGCACUGGUGUGACGAGUUCCUACCUUCUGAGGAAUCUCCAUGUCAUUCAGUUGGUGUGGGGGGAAAUCAGGACUGUUACUUUGAAAAAAUUAGAGUGUUUAAAGCAGGCAUCCGUCUGAAUACAUUAGCAUGGAAUAAUAAAAUAGGACGGUUUGGUUCUAUUUUGUUGGUUUCUAGGAUCACCGUAAUGAUUAAUAGGGAUAGUUGGGGGCAUUAGUAUUCAAUUGUCAGAGGUGAAAUUCUUGGAUUUAUUGAAGACUAACUACUGCGAAAGCAUUUACCAAGGAUGUUUUCAUUAAUCAAGAACGAAAGUUAGGGGAUCGAAGACGAUCAGAUACCGUCGUAGUCUUAACCAUAAACUAUGCCGACUAGGGAUCGGACGAAGUUAAUUUUUUAAUGACUCGUUCGGCACCUUACG